CGUCUUUCUGUUAUAAAUACUACCGUAGGAAUUUCAAGUAAAUGCUUCUAAUUUUUGAGUAACAACUCUUUCACUUAUUUGUUACAAUGAAAGUUAUCGAUGGACGCUCGUAUCUGAAGCCUGACACGCCUUGGAGCAAGGAGUGCGUGCCGGGCUGCGAUUGCCACGAUAUCUACAUAGAUAAUUCCUGUAUCAAGUUAUAAGAUGGAUGAAAUUGGUGCUUCGUUUAAAUAUUAUUGGCGUUUAUACAGGGUCAUUUCGACAUUGCGUUACUAAAUGAAACCACAAGUUCGUGGUG